AACUUUUGCCCAUCAGGAACUAGUGACUAUACUAUACUUGCUCUGGGGUACCUCUCUACACUGCCCUCUGGACCUUGCUCCUGCAGCUGUUAACACCUUGUCCCAAGUCCUUCGGAAAGUCUGCCUGAAGAAGAGAAUAAGAAGGGAACCUCAGCAGUAUAUCAUAGAGCCUGGGUGAAGUUACAGAAGGUUGGGUCUCCCCAGGACCUGCUUCCCCCAAGUAAUAGUCGGGGCUAGGCCUACUGGGAAUCACAAAUUGGUCAACUUUGUCCUGACUUGUUGGAUCUUAUUUUUGAGUUUGCAUCAGUAAUUUAUUCGGCUGUUUGGAAAACCCAGGCUGCCAGUGUAGUAGGUGGUUAGAGCAACCGGAGAAGGAGGAGUCCUCUCGACUCUGGCAUGUUUCACCAAUAAAUGCCAUCUCCAGCAUGUUGUAUCCCUUGGACUUCUCUGAAUUCCUGACUUCUGGGCUCCGGGCCAUGAUGUAGAAGCCCCAAGGUGAGCUGGGGCUCAAGAUGAAGACUGGAAGACUCCACGUUCAGCUGCAGUCUUAGCCAAGAGAAUUCAGUCCUGACCUGAGAGGGAAGCCCAUACCAUCCCCUCUCGGCAAGUCUGGCUGGGCCUCAUCCGUGUUCUCCCUCAGCCACAGGGAACAUGAUGCUGAGGUCUCAUCUCAAGCUCAGAAUGUCCAUCAAACACACAUUUCGACACAAGCCUGCUCCUUCUGCCUCGCCACCCUGUGCACGCGACACUGGCUACCUACCCCACGGCGAUCAGAUGUGACAGUGAUGAACCAGGCAGAUAACUAGAGACAUGCACCUCGAAGGAUGUGGAGCCAGAACUAUGAUCUGUGAUCUUUUUUGUUCUAACCAUUGUAUCCUCAGCUCCUGAGUAGUAUCUGAGAAUACUGCUGACACUCAAUAAAUAUUUGUUAAAUGACUGGAUGGCAGUUAGCUCCCUACACAAGAGUCCCAUUCCUACAUUUAGUCAGAGCUUUGUCUUCUCCUUUACCUAGUCCACAGCCCUAUCCUUCAGCCCCCUUUCCACCUUCAGCCAACCCUCAGAGUUCGUUUCCGUUCUUCCCUCUGUGCCCUGGCUGGCACAUGUUCUUCCUGCUCCUCUCCUUCUCUUGGGUCCUGAUCUUUAUAUAGAGGGAGAACUGGAUGAAGCCUUUCAGAGCCAUGAGGGGUAACAGAACCAGAACUGGCAGGAAGCCCAGGUGUAAGAAGAGACAGCUCAAGGACUUGGCUUCUACUCUAAGCUUCCUGCAAGAAAAAAGUCUUCUCCAGCUGCACCCCCGAUGCAUCCCAGAAACCCCACUGUGCUGCCCAGUGGUAUCACCUACUUAGCUCCAUCGCUCCACCCCAAGGCCUGAAGCCUCCCAGGCCAGUCAGCUCCUGGAGCUUCUAGGAGGAGCAGGAUCCAGGGAGGGAUGAAGGAAUCAGAGACAGUCUGCCUCAGACCUGCUCCACCAUACACCAGCCCCUGGGCAGCAGUAACAUACUUCUUUGAGUUACAGUUUCCUGUAAAAUGGGGAUAAUAACCUGCCCAUAAAUGACGGUGAGCAUAAA